GCCUGCCAGAGGUUUGAGAGGGUGACUGUGGCGCCGGAAUUAAGUCCAUCAAAGUAGUUUCCCCGUGGCACAUGAUCGGACGAGACUGGCGAGGCCACCUCCAGGCGAUGAUGGACAUCUUCAACACCCACGGUUAUCUUGUGUGACCGAGUUCAUGAACACUGGAACAAGGUUUGGUGAUUGGACCAACCAGACCCUCAAACUGCCAUGAGCAAGUCCAUUGAUUGGUACCAAGAAGGUAAUUCUCUUUGCACACAACAACAGCAUCCAGGCCUCUACCGAGUACGGAUGGGAGCCGCAGCUGUUGACUGAGAUCACUGAAACCCCAGCUGAUGUGGUGGAAGUUGUCGAACCAGAUCAGAACGCCUUCGAGGACCACCUUCAGGCACGGACUGAGAAGGAUGCAGAGGUUAUUGACUAGGACCAUCGACUGUCCAAGCCCCCAGGAGGUAUCCCGUCCACCAGAACCAGCGAGUUCGGAUCAGUCUGAUUUUAUGAGUUGGGAGGCGGACCAGCUUGAGGACCUAGGGGUUCUGCCAAACACCCACAUAAUAUGUGAGAUACACAGGUUAACUAAAUACACGAGCACUGCAAACACUCAGAUAAAGAGCCGCAGUGCCU